GGAUGCGUAUCCAUCCUCUUUUGCCUUAAGAAUAUCAGCUGCAUGACAGAAUUUAAAGUUAACUUCAAAAAAUCACCUAGAAAGAUUCUGAAGGUAUUAAACCUUGAAUUUCGGAUAUAUUAUAGACCUUUGUGUCUAGAUUCUAAAUAAUCAAGCGGCUUGUGAUUUCGUCGUUCCUACAUCAAGACACAAGAGUUUUAGUAAAGCCACACAAAUCUGGAAUUUUCAGCAUGACAGAAUUUAAAGCUAACUUAAAAAAAAAUCAUCUAGAAAUAUUCUGAAGGUAUUAAAUUCCGAAUUUUGGAUAUGUUAGAGGUCGAGAAGUCUAGUUUCUGAAAAAUCAAACCGUUCUUAAUUUCGAUUUUUCUACAAUGAGAUAUGAAUUUUCUACGACAAACGUGUCAAGCUGUAGAAAGGGUGACGAAAA
rnacentral:lncRNA from 1 species